GUAUAAGAGACAGCAGCAGCCGCGGUAAUACGGAGGGUGCAAGCGUUAAUCGGAAUUACUGGGCGUAAAGCGCACGCAGGCGGUCUGACAAGUCAGAUGUGAAAUCCCCGGGCUUAACCUGGGAACUGCAUUUGAAACUGUCAGGCUGGAGUCUUGUAGAGGGGGGUAGAAUUCCAGGUGUAGCGGUGAAAUGCGUAGAGAUCUGGAGGAAUACCGGUGGCGAAGGCGGCCCCCUGGACAAAGACUGACGCUCAGGUGCGAAAGCGUGGGGAGCAAACAGGAUUAGAUACCCCAGUAGUCCCUGUCUCUUAUAC
rnacentral:rRNA from 1 species